rnacentral:lncRNA from 1 species
CCUACACUGAAAUUGCCCUUGCCUAACGAUUGCGUCUGAAGCUGGGCUUGUAGCACAGCUAUCCUCGCCGUAAGGCGAUCGUUCUCCUGUAUAUUAUGAGUACAGCGACUGCAAUUAGAAGGCAUCAUGUUAAUGUUACUGCUUAGCUUCGGCUGUUGGAAGUCCUGACGAACCAUGUCCAGAUAAAACGUCCGGAGUGAAAAAGUUGAAUGAAAAAAGUUGAGUGAGGGAACAACUAAAAACCGUAAAGUUGUCAGGUAGCAAAGUAAGGUUGGCAACAAAACGCACAGCAGCACGUAAACAAGUCUGCAAGUUGUGACCGGAAAUGACGAAACAACAAAACAAUACUCACAGGAUAACCGGACAAAUGUGACAUGUAGGAGCAAAACAAAAGAUAGAUCAAUAUAGAGAGAGAGAGCUGGGGACACAGAGAGAUUGAACACAGAGAGAUUGAACACAGAGAGUGAGACAGACACUGAUGGUCAUCUCUACCUGCACUGGUUCACAGGUACUGUAGUUUAGGACGGACACAGUAUACUGAUGGUCAUCUCUACCUGCACUGGUUCACAGGUACUGUAGUUUAGGACGGACACAGUAUACUGACGGUCAUCUCUACCUGCACUGGUUCACAGGUACUGUAGUUUAGGACAGACACAGUAUACUGACGGUCAUCUCUACCUGCACUGGUUCACAGGUACUGUAGUUUAGGACAGACACAGUAUACUGACGGUCAUCUCUACCUGCACUGGUUCACAGGUACUGUAGUUUAGGACAGACACAGUAUACUGACGGUCAUCUCUACCUGCACUGGUUCACAGGUACUGUAGUUUAGUUCACCUGUAACCCAGAUAGCUCCCCUGUGGAUGCUGUGUCGGAUAUCACACCUUCAUUAUUAUCUUGUGUGUAAGGAUAUCAUCACUGAAUGUUGCUUUCUAGUACACAACAUUUGAUUUUGAAUCAUGAAUAGAUCAUCCAUCCUUUCAUCUGUUCACCCCAGAAAACACUCAGAAAAUAUACAUUCCCAGUUUGAAUAUAUCAACAGCCAUGUAACUGACCACUCCAGCAUCCCUAGAGUACCACAACAAACGCAUGAGGUUGUGCUGAUGCAAGACUUCUCUGAACCUGCCUGUCCCAGUCUUUCCAGUAAUGUUGAGAGACAGAGUCAUGUGCUGCCUGGUCCUGCAGUGGGUGGUGCUGUGGGACAGUUGGAAGGGAGUGGACAGGGUAGACAGUGUACUUCAGAGAGAGAUUUACAUGUGUGGUUCCAGGAGACCAGUGGCGGGGUGAAGGGUCACACUCCUCAAAAUGUCAGCAGGCG